UCCAGGAUGGCCGAGUGGUUAAGGCGUUGGACUUAAGUUCCAAUGUACGGAUGUACGCGUGGGUUCGAACCCCACUCCUGGUA
rnacentral:tRNA from 2 species